rnacentral:rRNA from 1 species
GAUCAUGGCUCAAGAUGAACGCUGGCGGCGUGCUUAACACAUGCAAGUCGAACGGAACUCCUAUGAUUGAGGUUUCGGCCAAAAGAAUAGGAUGUUUAGUGGCGGACGGGUGAGUAACGCGUGAGUAACCUGCCUUGGAGUGGGGAAUAACACAGUGAAAACUGUGCUAAUACCGCAUAAUGCAUUUGAGUCGCAUGAUUCUGAAUGCCAAAGAUUUAUCG